rnacentral:tRNA from 1 species
GGUCCGGAUCCCGCCGUGAGGCGUGGCCCGGACAUAAGACCCGGAAAGGAGACGGCGGUUCGAUUCCGCCCCGGGUCACCA